rnacentral:rRNA from 1 species
UACGUAGGGUGCAAGCGUUGUCCGGAAUUAUUGGGCGUAAAGAGCUCGUAGGCGGCUCAGUAAGUCAGGUGUGAAAACUCCAGGCUCAACCUGGAGACGCCAUCUGAUACUGCUGUGGCUAGAGUCCGGUAGGGGAGCAUGGAAUUCCUGGUGUAGCGGUGAAAUGCGCAGAUAUCAGGAGGAACACCAGUGGCGAAGGCGGUGCUCUGGGCCGGAACUGACGCUGAGGAGCGAAAGCGUGGGGAGCAAACAGG